UCGCGGUAUAUGAAGAAAUAUAAGUUCGGAAAAUGCGCUAUGUUCUUUUGCUAGGAAUAUAUGAUAGCUAUACAAAUGCCACGUACGAAGACGUUAAUGCGCGCACAAGCCCAGCUUCAGAAGCUUUGGCUGCGCGCCAGAAGACACAAGCGUUUAUUUAUUGCAAAAAUCGCGGGCACCUCUUGCGGUGCGCCUGUCAUUGCGCAGUGCUGAUGGAAACCAGAUAAGCGCGCUGAUAACCACGCGGCUCAGUUUUCAAUCGAAUCGUCUACCGCUAGCUGGAACGCCAUAGCGCCGCCGUCGUGUAGAAAGCUCAAUUCCUCGCUCAUUAUUAUCCUGCUGUUUCGUGCUUGCUGUUUGGAAAGGCCAUUGAGCAUUUGUAAGUAAUUUGUUUAUCAAUAGCAUUUGUAGUUUGAUUAUUGUUUCUUCCUAUAGCGGCGCUGAGCAAGCAAAACAAUCAGCCACUUCACUGAGUUUAGCCGCAUAUUUAAUACACCUUGAUUGCUAAUACAAAUAUAUCAAGGUUCAGUACAUUAAACAGACCUGUAGAAUAGUAAUUUCGUCCUAAGCUUUGCUUAGAUCGCCUGGCUCAUGGUAAGGUAGACGAUACUAAACUGGUGUAGCCAUUUUAUACAAUGAACUAUAAUCAUUAGUAUGUAUUGUUAUUACCGUAGACAAAAUAAACUGAAUUUUUCUUUGCGAUUUACAGGAUUUAUUAGCGCGCAUUGGCUGCCGGUUUUAUAGAAUAUAAGUGCAAGUUUAAUACACUCAAUUUCAUAAAAGAAAUCGGUUGUACUUAGGUGAUUUAACAUUUUAUACAAACUGCGCAAAAUAAUAUUAUGGACAUGUAAAGCUUGUUAUAUUGAAGAGUUAUGGUAAACAUUGCAGAAGCAUAAUGCCCACGUCUUUUAACACAAUAAUAUUUCGAACACAACACAAAGAUGUCAGGUGUAUUUGAUUUCUACGAGAAUCCUUGACAGCCGUUUGCGCACUGUUUACAACACGAAACAGAUGGAUUUUCACGUUGUCGGGACGACGUAAUAAUCGCUGAAAUGCGUUACUUCCUAGAGAUAUUAUGGGCAUUAUGAGUUUAAACCCGCGAUGCGCACAUCUGGGACCUUCUGAAAUUCAUGUAGGAUUUUCCUUGUGGCAAAUCUCAGGCAACUUUGCAUUCUUAUGUAAAUUGGUUUACGAUUUAAAGAAUUAAACAUCCUUAUACUGAAUUCCAGAAUGACAAAUCGUAUUUACAGAUGGAAAAACAGUUAAUCCAGCCUUGGCAAUUGCAAAGAGUCUAAUAGCAUUAACGACGCACGCAUUUGGGCUGUUUAGAGCUCGGUUCAGUUGACCUACUUUUAAUAUCUUGAAUGUCGCCUGGCAUAUUAGCGAAACAUAAAAAAAUUGUGGUCUUGUCUGUUUGUCGCAACUUCCUGAAUAUAAAAACAAAUGUAUAGGUCCUUUGUCUGGACGUUAAUAGGAGACCCUGCUCUUAGUCUAUUGUUAUUGCAACGGUUAGUUCAUCUGGUCAACAUUUGCAAAUAUAUAUGUGAAUUGGAAUACUUAAAAUCGCUAAGGCAAAUGGCUUGCUGUAUAGUUCAAUUUACACAAAUAGAAACACAGUUUAUGAGUCAUACCUGGCGGGGUUAGUCAACAGUCUACUCCAUGCACAAGCCCGUUUGCUUUUGCAAUUUUUGCUGCGAUUUUAGGUGCGAUUUUCUUCUGACGGAUGUGAACGAGUGGAUGAGCUAUAAAUGUUCAGACGAGGCUACAAGCUAACAUGUAUACUCAUCACUCAUCUACUCGUUCACAUGCAUCAGAAGUAGAAAAUCGCAGCAAAAAUUGUCAUUUUUUCCUUACGCUCCUCUCCCUCUAUAAACGCAGGUUACACCUUGAACGUAGCAUGGAAAUCCGUAAACAAACACUUCUUCAGAUGACGAACUCAGCUCACAAUCCUCUUGUGGGGAUGAGAAAUUUCCAUCUAAAAAAACCUUUGUUCACAAUUAAUGCGCCAAUGGUUUUUGUUGGUCGAUAAACGUCUUUAAAGUAGGAGAAUCUGUGAAGUUUGUGUUAGGAAUUGGUUUAUGGAAACAAACGGGUGUAGAGUUCCGUAGUUCAACUUCAAAGUCCAACUGUGACCUCUCUUGGUCCACUUCCAGAAACAUACAUGUAUGUCAGGGAUACCAACGACAAACAUUAUUUGCUAGCGCUGUGUUAUUGGAAAACCCUGAAAGCAUUUUGAUGGUGUUUGAUAGUAUUUUACCAUUUUCCUUUUUCGAUUUCUGAAUUUACCUGCUUGGCCAUCUUCGAUACGAAUUGAAAUGCUGUGUUUACAUGAUUCCAACUGAAAUAAGCUCUUGAACGGAGUACUUAGCAUUUAACCACGGAAUGUUGAUAACUACAGUGACGACAUUCUCGCUAUGUUAUGUGGCAGCGCUUGUAGAUAUUUGAUAGAGUUUUAACCUCAUUUUUUUCUGACCUGUUCGUCUUACCGCUUAGCGCUCCCUCGGUAUAAACUGACAGGCUAUAUCUUCAUGGUUUUAACUUGACUAAUCUCUUCGUGUUUGUGUCUGAAGGCUAUCAUGCUGUCAGCCGUACACUGUUCUGUGUUAACUUGUAGACGAAUGUGACGAUUCACUGAAGCUGAAGGAGGCCGUCUUCCCGCCAAGCGCGAUUCGUUGUCAACCGCCAAAGUUUCGUGCUCGUAGCUACGGUGAAACUUUUCCUUCUUUCUAUGGCUAUAAAACAGCCUGGCUGCCAGGUGUACACUGUUCCAUCUGUGUUUUGUGAGACGAAUGUGGCUAUUCACUGAAACAGAUGGCUUUAUGAACAUUACAGCACUCGCCCGAUGCACCCCGCAUUGAUUACUCCAUAAACAUAGACAUCUGUUCUGAACUGAGAGAUUGAAAUUUGCAGCUGGAUUUUGAGUGCAUCAGGAGGAAAUGUGCACACCGAUUGUUCGGUCUUGUGGACAGACAUAGUGCAUACACACAGGUGCACGACUAAAUACACUUGCGCAUAUUAUGCGAGAAGUUUCUGAUAGCAAACACUUUAGGACUAUUAGUAUUGCUUAUCAUAUUCCCUAACAUGGUACAAACAAGAGCCCAAACUAUUUAUCUGUCGUAAAAAGCCUUAGACUUAUUGAAUCUCUAAAUAAUAAUGAUCCUGUAUACUAGCAAGUUUGGUUAUGUUUAAAAGUCUUCCAAUAACUUUGCUACCCUCUAUUGAAUAUGUACUGAGAUUUAAUGAAACAUUUGCGCAAAAACCAGACUACAGUCUAUAAAAAUUAAUACUAUAUAUGAUUGAGGCUGUUACAUGCAUUUACAAUUGCAGAUAAUGCAAAAGUUCACAAUAUGCAAAUAUACAUGAAAUGUCUAAAAUAAUAUUCAUUGUAUGAUAUUCAGUCAAGCAUAUGAUAUCUCAACUGCGAUAUCUCAAGCGUAUAAGUAGUGUUCUACAUUAAUUUUGUGCGCGAACUACCUGAAACUGAAUAUUUUCAGAAUACUCUAUGAUGUUUCUACAAAGGAUUUGUUUGCACGAUAUACAGUACACCAUGCACGCACUUGCAAAAUUAAUGCGUGGUAGAUUAUUAUUUCAGAUUUAUAGUCUCGAAUGGUAGCAUUUAUGGCGGCAUUUACCAUAUUCCACGCUUGGAUUAGCUCGAAUAUUGUUGCCAGGGGUUGCGGAAAAGCGAAGGCCGCUGUUUAUAGCUAAAUCGACGUAAUUCAUUUCUCAGACAUAAGCUAUACACUUCUGUAAGCAACAAUUUUAAUCCUUAUUAAAUUUCUAAUCCUAAUUCAAAAUAAACCGCUACAUUAAUUUGCGCCGAAACUAAUCCUUCGAAAAUCCAAAGACAAUCGAUCGUGCCAUAAUCCCGAAAAUCUUGCCCCUGGCUAUGGAACGCCGAUCUCCAACCUUAAUCGAGUUCGAUGGACUUAAGUUGUUUUUAUGUUGGGGCAGGGUUUCAGUUAUAUUAGUAUUUAGACUAUUUUACUUGUAUACAUAAUACUGUAUACAGUAUUUUAUUGUUAAAAUAGGUUGAAAUAUGGGUAGAAAGUAUCCCACAUGUAUAUUGGUAUACACCCUCGCCCCUGUUUAUUGGUAGGCUUCAACAAGCCGAUGAAGCAAAUUUAUAGAUUGCAUUUCUCAAUUCAAUUCUCCUUCAAAACAUAUCACGUAAAGAAUAUUAAAUCAUUAUUUUCUUCCUCUCGUAGUUCAGCCAGGCGGUACAUUUCACGUGCAAUUGAAAUUAUGCCACUAUUUAAUUAUAGGGACUAAAAGUCUAAAACGUCAAAAUAGGCAAUCCUACAUAUAGCUAUGUGCCUAUGUCCUUUUAAGACUGUAAACUACAUAUUUUUGAAGAUAUGCUGUAAAUACACCUAUUAUGGACUAGCAUAGGUCAGCCAGAGAGGCCUAAUGUUGGAAUGAGUCUAUCCCCUUUUCGCUUUGCAUGAAACAACGCUACUCGUACGCUGAGUUGGCGCGGCAAGAAGUCGAACCUCUCGAUCUUCCAGAUGAACUCUAGCUCUUUACCGACGGAGCUAGUCUCGUAAACUAAUGUACUCCAAUCACUUGCCGCCAAUACGCUAACAAAUUUCAUAACCUCACGCCAGAAAUCUCUGGUGUGGCUGAGUUCAUGGAGUGCAGUUCUGACAUAAAUUGCGUGUUGACCACAAUCGGCUGCAUUUCAGUACGUGAUACGUGAUCGGCAGAUGGUCGUCAGAAUUGGCUUUCUCACUGUUUUUCCACGUCAGAGAAUCUAGACAAUCUAAGCAAUUUGAAAAGUGACUUUUCAAAGUUGUAACUGUAAAUUCAUCAUUAAUCAUUACAGCACACAACUACAGUGGUAAAAUGUCCCAUUUCGUGGUGGGACAAAAUGGCGGAUAAAUUGCAUGAACUUUUUUUUCAAAUUCCAGUCUUUUUUCUACCUGUCACCUCCCUCCCUCCCCCCCCCCCUUUAUACCUAGUAAUGGUCCACCCCUUAGCAUCAAAUACACCACUGUAGACCACUACACAAUGACAACUUGCAGCAGUGGGGUCAACCAAUUCUUGUCAAUGACAAGAAUUGGUUGACCCCACUACUGCAUGAUAUUGCACUGAAUCCCGCCCACCUAUUCGAAGGCUUAUUCAACCCAUUGCUCAAUGUUUCGGGCUAUUUUAUUUUGCAGGUAUAUUCGCCAGGCGCCGACGAAAUGAUGGCACAGGGACCCGGGGAAGCUUCUCAAUACCCGACGAAACAUGCUCUUUAUUCUGAUAUCUACUACGGAGGU